UGGCUCAGUUGGAAGAGCAUGGUGUUUGCAACGCCAGCAUGGUGUGUGCAAGGCCAGGGUUGUGGGUUCGAUUCCCAC
rnacentral:tRNA from 1 species